AUUGAACGCUGGCGGCAUGCCUUACACAUGCAAGUCGAACGGCGGCACGGGAGCAAUCCUGGUGGCGAGUGGCGAACGGGUGAGUAAUAUAUCGGAACGUGCCCAGUCGUGGGGAUAACGUAGCGAAAGCUACGCUAAUACCGCAUACGAUCUAUGGAUGAAAGCGGGGGAUCGCAAGACCUCGCGCGAUUGGAGCGGCCGAUAUCAGAUUAGGUAGUUGGUGAGGUAAAGGCUCACCAAGCCGACGAUCUGUAGCUGGUCUGAGAGGACGACCAGCCACACUGGGACUGAGACACGGCCCAGACUCCUACGGGAGGCAUCAGUGGGGAAUUUUGGACAAUGGGCGCAAGCCUGAUCCAGCAAUGCCGCGUGCAGGAUGAAGGCCUCGGUUGUAACGUA
rnacentral:rRNA from 1 species